AGUGAACGCUGGCGGUAGUCCUAACACAUGCAAGUCGAACUGCAGCACCGUAAGAGCUUGCUCUUACGGGUGGCGAGUGGCGGACGGGUGCGGAAUACAUCGGAAUCUACUUUUUCGUGGGGGAUAACGUAGGGAAACUUACGCUAAUACCGCAUACGACCUACGGUUGAAAGCAGGGGAUCUUCGGACCUUGCGCGAUUGAAUGAGCCGAUGUCGGAUUAGCUAGUUGGCGGGGUAAAGGCCCACCAAGGCGACGAUCCGUAGCUGGUCUGAGAGGAUGAUCAGCCACACUGGAACUGAGACACGGUCCAGACUCCUACGGGAGGCAGCAGUGGUGAAUAUUGGAGAAUGGGCGCAAGCCUGCUCCAGCCAUAACGCGUGGGUGAAGAAGGCCUUCGGGUUGUAAAGCCCUUUUGUUGGGAAAGAAAAGCAGCAGGUUAAUACCCCGCUGUUCUGACGGUACCCAAAGAAGAAGCAACGGCUAACUUCGUG
rnacentral:rRNA from 1 species